AUUGAACGCUGGCGGCAGGCCUAACACAUGCAAGUCGAACGAGUGGCGGACGGGUGAGUAAUGUCUGGUAAACUGCCUGAUGGAGGGGGAUAACUACUGGAAACGGUAGCUAAUACCGCAUACCAUCAGAUGUGCCCAGAUGGGAUUAGCUUGUUGGUGGGGUAACGGCUCACCAAGGCGACGAUCCCUAGCUGGUCUGAGAGGAUGACCAGCAACACAGGAACUGAGACACGGACAAGAGUCCUAGGGGAGGAAGGAGUGGGGAAUAGUGGACAAUGGGGGAAAGCCUGAGGCAGCCAUGCCGCGUGUAUGAAGAAGGCCUUCGGGUUGUAAAGUACUUUCAGCGGGGAGGCGGUACCCGCAGAAGAAGCACCGGCUAACUCCGUGCCAGCAGCCGCGGUAAUAC
rnacentral:rRNA from 1 species